GCACCGAAAGAGUGCCUCGCGGCCUAUCAGCUAGUUGGUGGGGUAACGGCUCACCAAGGCGACGACGGGUAGCUGGUCUGAGAGGAUGGCCAGCCACAUUGGGACUGAGACACGGCCCAG
rnacentral:rRNA from 1 species